ACUGGCCCGUUGUGCACACCCCGGAACGGCCCACUACCACACCCACGACCUUCUCCUCUCCCUCGACGACGCCUCACCAUCCCCCGAUCCCCAUCGACCAAACCACCGCACCGCCCUCCCCUGCCUGCCGCGCCGCGCCGCCCUGCCCGUCAGCAUCUCGUAGCCCCUCCUCGCCGGCCUCGCGCCGCCGCCCACCGGCUAACCCCCACCGCCGCCCAUCGGCGAUGCGCGCCGCGCCGCCGCCCCAAACCUCCACCGCCCACAGGCCUCGAGCGCCGCCGUGAGCCGUGGAUCCGGGGCGCCGACGCCUGGCUCUGGAUCCCGCCCACCGCUGCCAGAGUCCCAGACUGAAGACGAGCAAGCCUGCGCCCCCUCACUCACGUAGCCUCCUCCCGAUGGGGAUCCACCAUCGCGGCGCUCAUGUCGUUCGGCAUCGCCACCUCCGGCUGUUCAACGACGGCGCUCCUGGAUGUUCACCACAUUAGCUCCCAAAUCCCAGCCAUCCAGGGGUCUCCGACACAACUCCACCCCUCUCCGCCCCUGCAUCACCUCCUCCGCCGGUGUUGAAGCCAUCGUCGGCCCUGUGGAACAAACGCCGGCGCCGCCCUCCAAGAACCCGAGCCGCCGCCUGCCACCAAGAUGCUACGCCGCCACUAGUGGCUCCUCCCAAACCCAACGCCCUGCACCCCCAUCUCCUCCACGUCCUGGCGGUCGCUCGCACGCGAGGAUGGUGCUGGCCCGGCUCCAUGCUUCGGACCUGGAGAGGAGAUGGCUGGCUCACACCUAGGCCGGCUUCGCAUCAGUCCAACUACACUGCUAGUCCCUAUCCAGGUUCUGCAAUUUCUGUGCAUCCACUCCUGUGAUUGCUGCAUCUAGAGUGAACGGCUAGUCCCCUAGUCCCCUGUUUCUUUGGAUAAAUUUUUUGUACAAGUUUCGUGAAAGUUGUGCUGAUUUGAUGCCCUCAACUGUUUGUGGUUAUGUCUCUGAUAACUAACAACAUCUUUUGUCCUAUGCCCAAAUUUUUGUGAGCAACAAAUAUUCAUACAUGUGCAUUAUAUCUGUUCUUGUGGGAAUACGUCUACAACAAGUUCGUUUUUGCACCUCUUUCAGAAAAAAUCAUAUUGUACAAUUCUAGUGUAUCUUCUUGAAGUUCAUAUUGUCAAGACCUCGAAGCUCACAUAAUAUAGUUCAGAAGUUUGGAUGACUCAUGUCUGAUAAUUUUUUUUUGAUACAUACACGCGAGCCUGUUCAUAUUUGUAUAUUUGUUAAUUUCAUUAUCCGUUAGGAUCUGGUAUUAGUAGUCUAUUUUUUACGAGCAGUCUUGUUCGACAGAUGCUUUAUCUCUACUCCUAAUGGACGAGUUGGUUGAAUAGUCCCCCCACUUUCGUCUGGUUUUUUUUCGACUGGUUUUUUUUCGUCACCUCCCCACCCCACCUCACCCCACCCCACGCACGCACCCCAAGAAAACCACCCCGUAGGAGGAACGCCCUUCCUCUCGAUCCCCUCCCGUCGCCGCCGCCGUCCUCUCUCCGAUCUCUAGCCUCGCACCUUCUCCCAUCCAUCCCCUCGCCUCUCUUUCCCCCGAUCUAGAUGGCACCUCCCACCAUGGCGGGGAGGCGGCUUCGAGCGCCGCCUGAUCUCCUCGACCCAGGGCCUCACGCUCACCAGCGCCCGCCCAAUCGCGCGCGACCUCUCCACUGCAGCGCGCCCCCGCCCUGUCGCCGAUGUCUUGAUGUGCAGCCCACGCCAUGGGUCUCCGCCGACGCCACGAUGGUCGUGGCCUCCUCACCCGCCGACGCCUCCACUCCAGAUCCGAGCCGCCGGUGAGCCGUCAAGGUCGGGGCAUGGUACUAUCCAUCUUCCCGCGUGUAGGGCAGCCGGUGCCCGCGUCCGCGUAUCCCGGCCAUGGGUGUUGUAUUCAUCUCCUACAUGGGGCGACGAGGAAGAUGAGCCCAGCGGCACGUGUGUCUUCCAGCCGCUCUUGUGAGAUCGGGAGGCAAUCAAAAGCAGGAAGGGGAGAUCGAUGCUUGGGGGUGACAUCCAAUGACCCAGGCAUCACCCUCUCCUGACGUCUUACUACAAACCCGCAGCCACUGCCUCCUCGAUCUACGCUAGCCUGCAGCAGCAAGGUCAGCCCCCCACACUCGGCAUUUUUUUCUUUAGGUCUUGGCGCGGGAAACUGAAAAAGAGAUGCUCCAACAAUCACCACAUCCCCCAUACUGAUUCCUGCAAAUAAGCGUUAAAUAAAAGUAUAUCGAGUUUGAUGACGAUGAUGAUUGAAAAGAAGAGGAUGAAGCACUAGUCAGAGGGUAUCCGAGUGUACAUGAUGCCCCUGGGUGGGUGUCGGCGUGAGCUGGUAUGGCCCCGUCGUGGCUAUGUAGAUGGGGAGGCGGGGUGGAGGCUGGGACUGCAUGGGGAAAAAGCAUAAAGAGCAAGACGGUAGUGCUGUACUGUGGCAUGGUCAUGUGUGUAGCCUCAGCACAGCGUUGUACUGUGGCAUGGCUGUGUGUGUGACGUCGGUGCAGCGGCAAAGAGUAGUCUUUGGAGCAGGGCAGCGGCACACACACACAUGAGGGUGGCCCUCGAGGCUUGGGGGUUAAGCAGGUGCGCGAUGGAUCCCGUGGAAGUGGAGAGAGAAGCAUCAUGCUCAUGAACUUGAAAAAUGAUUUCGAGUUUGAACAAAGAAAGUUUACCAAAGAAGACAUCAAAGAAAUUAUAUUUAGGGAGAUACUGGAAUACCUCCCUCAACUUCUCAAGGAUUACAUGCACGGAUCUGAAAAUACUUACUAUGUCCUAUGUUUCUACCUUGACAUAUCUUGCAAUCUGCUAAGAGGAAGAUGGUGGAAAGAGCGGGCGAGUCGAGAGAAAACAUUUUCUUCUCCCAAGGUAAUUUACACUAUCAUAAUUCCCCCAACUGUGACUUGUUAUAUACACACCUAGACCACCCCACACCGCCACUAUAGUACACGGACGCCGCUCACCUGCAAAGGGCAAAAGGCUCCUCCUUUUACCAUAAAACAUGUCCCUGGGUAGGAAGGUGGCCUACCCGGCCACAAGCAAAAAAGGGAAGGUCGCUUGCAGACACCGGUGGUGAAGAAAACGAUCCGGAAGAGCAGAAGUGUUAUUCCAUACCGAGCUGUACCGUGUGUUUUCAGUUUUAUGAAGAAUGGUUUGCGAUUACACGGUAUUUGAAACCUUCUUUUCACACACUGAGCCUUGUGAUCUGACGGUAUGUGGCUUCUGUGUUCUUGCGUAGGUGUCGAACUACACUACCAGCAGCAGAGGCUGCACCUUGUCUUUAGCAAAGACGGAAAGCCUGCUAAUUAAUGAUACAGGGAGAUGAACGAUGUGGAUAUGAAGAAGUAGUGGGUUGUGCUUUUCAGCAGUAAAUGCAUUUAGAGAUUAGAUGGCUUGCUCCAAAGACAAGCAACUAAUCUCGUUGAUGGGAUUGCUGCGCAGAUUCAUGGAUCGUGCUCUUCCGUGGUAAGGAGCCUGUGGCUCUCUCAAGUCUCAACUGAUCAGAAGAUCUUGGUUAGCUGGUUGGUCAGAGGAAGAAAGCAGAACGCAUGAAUGAAAGUGGAGAGGACAAAGAAAGAUGUGUGGAUACUCAUAGUUGAAGUAAAUAAGUAUUAUGGGGAUUCUCAUAGUUGGAGAAUAUAAGUAUUAUGCGGAUUCUCAUGGUUGGAGUUAAUAACGGACACACUGGCGUAUUAGUUGUUUGCCCAACAACGGACAUCAUAUUUUUAUUUCGUGGUAAUGCACGACAUUCAAUUGUAUA